ensembl:lncRNA
AGAAAGGGAAAAAAUAAGAGUCAGUUUCCCUGAGAAAAGAAGGAAGAGGAAGAGAGUUCUGGGAGAAAAAGGAGGAAAUGAAGCUUUGAAAUGCCUGUCCUUUCCUCUUCCGCCUGCGUCCGUUGCUUCCUAGACUGUGUGAGGCUCAACCCUAAAGGGGCAGAGAGCCGUGGUUUCCUUUGUUGCAGGAGAUGGCUGGUCCUUCACAGGUAGAAGCUGCUCUACCUUUCAGCGUCUGAAACACAUAGCAAGGCAGCACUAGUUGUGUUGUUGGAAAGGUCUUACCCAUUGAUGAGCUUGGUGGUGCCUGAGGAUCACAUGUGAUGUUUAGCUUUCAUUUCUUCAGUAUUUUGAAAGUUUUAUUAUUACUUCAUUAACAGCAAAACUUAGCACCAGUUCUUUUAGGCUUCAUUUUGGAUAAAAAAUUAUGUGAAAGUCCAGUGUCAUUCUAGGCAGCAAUUGUAUAGGUAUUUUGUAGUUUCUCUGUGAAUUACAGUUAAUUCACAAUAUCUCUGUAAAAAAUGGAAAUACAUUCACCAAUGUCAUGAUGUGCUUCUGUAAAAAUAGGCAAGGAGAGGCUAAAUGGUCUCCCCAAGUCACCCAGCAGGUGUCACUGUCAAAGUCUGGAAAUCUGAUCAGAGGAGACAGGAUUGGUGUGGCUGGUUUCCCUGCUGUGAGCCCUGUCCAUCUUUUUAAUCUUUGCUAAUCUGAGAAAUAUAAUUAAUCAAAGUAUAUAUUUCCUCUGGCAAUGAACAGCAUGAAAUAUCAAACUCGUUCAACGUUAUCUUGAAGAUAUCCAUGUCUCUAUUAUUUUCCUUUCUGUGGUUCAGUCCAUCAGAAAACAACCUGUCUCAAAUUUGUCAUUUUAACAAUGCGUGAUUUUUUGCUAGAGUGUAUUCUAUGCCAUUUCUCAACAUAGGACUUGAGUUUUGAUUUGAUUUAGAUAAGAUGACAUCCAGCCUAAAAACUCAAGGGGGGUUGAGUUAUUGCAGGGUUGCAAUCAAUAAGAAAAAAUAAUACCAUUCUAAACAAUAGUAUCCAGGCCACCUCCCCACCCCGGAAAACUUAAUAAUCUUCAUGCAGAAAGAUACCUUAUAGAAAUCUUAAUUAGUUUAUGGAAUCAGAAAGAGUCUAGAAAGAGUCUCCAGACUUUGAACACUUUGUACAAAGUCUAAGGAGAGAGCAGGUAGUCCAAGGAGUGUCCCCAGAUGGGCUGGCUGUCCAGGAAUUCAAUUUUCAGAGAGAUGAGAUGGAUAAAUGAAAAUAUUAUAUCACACUUUUUAGAUUAAUUUAUGAUAAAAUAUGACAACAAUAUUAAAUGUCAAGAAAAGUUUUUUCAGGGACAAUCUGUGACUUAGAGUAUAAAUUCCAAGAAGAUAUCAAUACAAUAUUCUGAAAAUUUAAGCAGGUAAAAUUUUAUAUUAAAUCUUCCAUGCAUUAUUGUUUAUCAAAAUUGUUACUUUGAGAAUUUGCAGAAAUAUCUCUUCUUGAUGCCAUUAAAAUCAUUUUUCAUAAGCACUUCAGAAUCAUAUAUAAAGCCUUUCCAUAUUUUUGUAAUAAAGUUAAAUGCUGUAAAAUAUUGAUUUUAGCUAAAUAAAUUAGUAUUUAACGUACCACACCAAAUUUUACAUAACUCUGGAUCAAAGUUUAAUUACAGGUUAUCUGAAUUAAUCUUUAUAGAACAUGUGGGAAUUUCCAUUAAGAGGAAAUAAAAACAUAUUCAGCAAAUGGAUGAAGUUUGGGUUUAUCGAGGAAAAAGAUGUACCUUACCUUGUAAGUGCAUGAAUUUGUAAUGUAAAUGGUUCAAUCUGAACAUUUUUUGAGCCACAGAGCAACCAGAAAAAAGUGCUUUCAUGAUGUGUCUAGGUAACUGCUUGUCAGUGCUUACAUAGUUCAUUCUAUUUGCAAUUUGAUAAUUUCUAAAUGAAAACAAAUGACCAGGUUUUAGUAUUUACCUCCUGGUACUAUCCUAUAGUUUUCCACUCCACCCCACCCCCAAAAUAAAUAAAUAAAUAAAGAUUAAACAGCAGCAGGCACUCACUUUAUUUUUUACUUACACUUGGCUUUUUGCUCAAAACAGCCUGACAAAUACCAUUGCUUAUUGAGUCACUGAGAAGUGAUGCUGCAUUUGUGGAGGCCGGUCUGUCUUCCUAUCUUCUGCAAGGUAAACUGGAAGAGAGAGCGGUCAUAAAGCACCGUCAGCAUUAUGAUAGAGGGCCGCAGUUUAACCCAGGCAUCUGCUGACAUCACAAGCAACCAACACAUAUUAAGUGCGGUAUGUGUGCCAGAGGUAGUUACUGGCUUUGAAUGACGACAGUAUCACUCCUGCAUUAUAUAGAACAGGGCUUGUCAUUCUCCACACAGCUAAGGUGAUCAUUACACGAAACUUUAUCAAUAUGGUUUUCAAGUAUAAAGCCAUUUACUCCAGGGAGUGAGAGAUAUUUACAGCACCAGAAAGGCAGUGGCAGAAAGCAAACUAGGGCAAUGGAGGUCUGUAAAAGGUGGAGAAGGAACGGCUUCAGCUCUGCUUUCCUUAGUACAGCAUGCUGCUUUUUACUGCCCUGAAGUCAUGGCACUGCGAGGCAUUGCAUGGGGGAGAAAUUAUGGCCAGAUUUAUCAACAGUUGGGUAGGGCUGCAAUGAAUGAGUGGGCACAGGACCAAGAUCCUUGAAAAGACACUUUAAGACACCACCGUAUAUCUUUCCGUUAUCAGCAUGAUAUUAGUGUCAAUGACAUCAAGGGAAGGGCUGGCGUCCCGAAGGACUGCAGCAAGGUAAUUUUAUCCAGCACACCGUGCCCCUGCCCUGCCCAUCUGUUUGAAGCAGAGCGUGUUCGUUUGCUCACACUGGCAUUUUCUCUGCUGAAAACUACGUCUCAGAUGCAUUUAGUAAAGAUAUGAACAGAUGUAACCUAAAUAACUACAGCUUAUUGUCUAUCGUGUCGAAGAGUGUCGGAGGAGUCUGCACAGGGGAUACUAUUCCUCAUGACGAAUGGGCCGAGGGUUGUUUUCGUGUAUCAGCCAGGACUGUGAUCUACUGCCAGCGAUAGGACACUGCUGGGCAGCACAUCGAAACACGUGAGAUUAUUUUCUCUUCUCACCCGAAGCCCUGAAGGAGGGAGACGGAGGAAAGUGCAGCUAGUUAAGAACGUCAUCUCAGAGCCUGCUGGCCGCUGUUUUCUUGCCCUAGUCCUCGUGUUUCCUGUCGCACCUCCAGGGGUCGCGUCUCUGAGGCCUCGAGGAGAGGCUGUAGGAGGGCACAAGAGCUUCCCCGCAAGUGGACUUUCUGUCUGCAAAAGAACGCUCCUCCCAGCAAACUGCCAUUUACGCGCUCCGGGACAGAGUUUAAUGAAGCAGCCAGCCCUGUCUAGACAGCGGCUAGAAAUGGUAUUUAGAUUCUACGUUUGAAGUAGUGAAAGGUUUGGAAGAAGACACUUGACAACAGAUGCUGUACAAGGGACCUUCUUGUGUUUGCCACUCUUUGAAUAUGAUUCCUAAUAGCAAGGCUGCCUUAACACCUUACAGCAAACUGUCUAGGUAUCUGAGACAUUCAUCAUUCAACAUAUAAGCUCUUCGGACUAUGCCAUGGCCAAACAAUACCAAUGUGAGCUGAAAUCCUUAGCUUCAAAGUUAAUCUUUCAAAGAUAAUAACUUUUUUCACAAUUCUCCUUUUUUACUCCUUUUUUCGCAAUAGCAGUGGCUUGUUGUAGUCUCUGCACAGGCAUCAGGAGAAAUGCUGGUGUUCUUGGCCUUGCGAAGCAAAACUAACAGUCUGGACUGGAACAGAAGCGAUACAAAUAAAAAAUAACAAUGUAUAUUAUUAAAUGUGAUGGCUUAGAAAAGGUAGCUGUUCCCCAAACUAAUAAAACAGCCUUAGGUUUUAGGUUUUAGAAGAGAGGUGUAUUUACAUUACCCCUCGGGCCUGGUUAAUGCAUAAGUAUGACUGACAUCUUAGGUAGAUAAUGUAAAUGCAUACCUGUGUAUGAUUAGAGAAAAUUAAUAGCUGUGUAUAUCCAUUUUCAAACUACCUUAUCAAAUAGUGAUUCAUGAGCAUUGUCAGAAUCUGUGUUGUAAAUUGUGUUAUUAUAACAAAACUAGGAGAGAAAUGCCACGCCACAGACUCAUCACGACAGGCAAGGUGGUCGGGGGUCUUUUUUGCUUUUGUGUCACCGUCAGUGAUUUUAUUCUCUUUCCUCAUCGUCGCACCCCGUUGACUUGUUCUCUGUGGAGCAGACUGAUGGAGCUUCAGUCCACUGGUUGAAAGGGCACAGACCCGGCGAGGAGGGUCCUGGUAAAGGGCAUUCUUUGUGGAAGAGGCCCAUUUCCAAGCACCAGAGGUAAACCUCACAGCCCACUCUUAGAUGCUGCCUGGGCUGCAAGGUCUGUACCUGGGCUCACCUGCACCAAUUACAUUUCUCCUCCAGAAAACAAAAGGAAACACGAGGAAACAUCUCGGUUGAAUCUGCAGUAUGAACAGGAGCGACGUCGCAUUUCACUGCGCUCACUGUGAACAGAUUCUUCUCAUAUGUGAGCUAAUCUGUGUAAAGGGAUAAAACUAUCCCUAUAAACAUGAAAGAAAGGAAAAGUGAUGUUUAAAAAUGCAUAUUUAAUUAGUUUUAGCUGUAAACUUUUAGUGUUUUAUUUAUUAUACGAAUAUAAUUUCAUUACCGACCGUCUCAAACAUACAGAAAAUCAGAGAGAAUAGUAGACCCAGAGGCCCACAAAGUUUCGCUCAGAUAAAAUAAAGGCUGCGUUUGUGAGGCCAUUCCUCAGAUUUUUUUGCAGUUAAUGUCUUGCAGGUUUAUUCUCUUCCAUUCUACUCUCCUUUCCUAGAUGUAGCCUCCAUCCUGAAGUUUGACUUUAUCUUCGCUUAUCAAGCUUGUUGGUAUCUAUAAAAUUNUGUGUAGUGUUUUUAUUUUAUUUUUAUUUUAUUUUGUCUUAUUUCUGUCUUUUUUUGUCAGCAUAUAGAGGAUUCCAGGCUGGGGAUCCAAUAAGAGCUGUAGCUGCCAGCCUCCGCCAGAGCCACAGCAACGCCAGAUCUGAGCCACGUCUGCAACCUACACCACAGCUCACUGCAACGCCGGAUCUGUAACCCACUGAGCAAGGCCAGGGAUCAAACUCACAACCUUGUGGUUCCUAGUCGGAUUGGUUAACCACUGAGCCAUGAUGGGAACUCCAAAAUGUGUAGUUAUUUUUAAAAGCUUACUAUAAAUGCUAUCAUGAUAGAAAUAUCUUCUUAAAACUUUCUUUUACAAUCAAUAUUGUCUUCCAGAUUUGUUCAUUUUAAUAUGAAGAUCAAAUUCACUCAUUUUAAUUGCUUUUCUUUGUAUGAAUUUAUUGUUGUUAUUCACUUACUCCCUUAAUGAGAUAUGUAGUUUGAAAUUUCCAAGUUCUCAUUCUGCAUAGCUGGGGUUGCUUUUCUAGAGUAUAUUCUUAAAAGUAGAAUUGUUGAAUCUUCAACUUUCCCAAAUACUACUAAAUUUCUCUCUGCAAUUAUUUAUUUAUUUAUUGUCUUUUGUAUUUUUAGCACCUCACCCAUGCAUGGCAUAUGGAAAUUCCCAGGCUAGGGACUGAAUCAGAGCUGUAGCCGCCAGCUGCCACAGCCACA